rnacentral:rRNA from 1 species
AUACGGAGGAUCCGAGCGUUACCCGGAUUUAUUGGGUUUAAAGGGUGCGCAGGCGGCCAUUUAAGUCAGCGGUUAAAUCGUGGGGCUCAACCCCAUUCUGCCGUUGAUACUGGGUGGCUUGAUUGCGGUCGAGGUUGGCGGAAUUCGUUGUGUAGCGGUGAAAUGCAUAGAUAUGACGAAGAACACCGAUUGCGUAGGCAGCUGACCAGAUCGCAAAUGACGCUCAUGCACGAAAGUGCGGGGAUCGAACAGGAUUAGAUACCCUGGUAGUCCGCACAGUAAACGAUGAAUACUUGUUUUCGGCGAUAUAAUGUCGGAGGCAAAGCGAAAGCGAUAAGUAUUCCACCUGGGGAGUACGCCGGCAACGGUGAAACUCAAAGGAAUUGACGGGG